rnacentral:rRNA from 1 species
GAUGAACGCUGGCGGCGUGCCUAAUACAUGCAAGUCGAGCGAACGGACGAGAAGCUUGCUUCUCUGAUGUUAGCGGCGGACGGGUGAGUAACACGUGGAUAACCUACCUAUAAGACUGGGAUAACUUCGGGAAACCGGAGCUAAUACCGGAUAAUAUUUUGAACCGCAUGGUUCAAAAGUGAAAGACGGUCUUGCUGUCACUUAUAGAUGGAUCCGCGCUGCAUUAGCUAGUUGGUAAGGUAACGGCUUACCAAGGCAACGAUGCAUAGCCGACCUGAGAGGGUGAUCGGCCACACUGGAACUGAGACACGGUCCAGACUCCUACGGGAGGCAGCAGUAGGGAAUCUUCCGCAAUGGGCGAAAGCCUGACGGAGCAACGCCGCGUGAGUGAUGAAGGUCUUCGGAUCGUAAAACUCUGUUAUUAGGGAAGAACAUAUGUGUAAGUAACUGUGCACAUCUUGACGGUACCUAAUCAGAAAGCCACGGCUAACUACGUGCCAGCAGCCGCGGUAAUACGUAGGUGGCAAGCGUUAUCCGGAAUUAUUGGGCGUAAAGCGCGCGUAGGCGGUUUUUUAAGUCUGAUGUGAAAGCCCACGGCUCACCCGUGGAGGGUCAUUGGAAACUGGAAAACUUGAGUGCAGAAGAGGAAAGUGGAAUUCCAUGUGUAGCGGUGAAAUGCGCAGAGAUAUGGAGGAACACCAGUGGCGAAGGCGACUUUCUGGUCUGUAACUGACGCUGAUGUGCGAAAGCGUGGGGAUCAAACAGGAUUAGAUACCCUGGUAGUCCACGCCGUAAACGAUGAGUGCUAAGUGUUAGGGGGUUUCCGCCCCUUAGUGCUGCAGCUAACGCAUUAAGCACUCCGCCUGGGGAGUACGACCGCAAGGUUGAAACUCAAAGGAAUUGACGGGGACCCGCACAAGCGGUGGAGCAUGUGGUUUAAUUCGAAGCAACGCGAAGAACCUUACCAAAUCUUGACAUCCUUUGACAACUCUAGAGAUAGAGCCUUCCCCUUCGGGGGACAAAGUGACAGGUGGUGCAUGGUUGUCGUCAGCUCGUGUCGUGAGAUGUUGGGUUAAGUCCCGCAACGAGCGCAACCCUUAAGCUUAGUUGCCAUCAUUAAGUUGGGCACUCUAAGUUGGCUGCCGGUGACAAACCGGAGGAAGGUGGGGAUGACGUCAAAUCAUCAUGCCCCUUAUGAUUUGGGCUACACACGUGCUACAAUGGACAAUACAAAGGGCAGCGAAACCGCGAGGUCAAGCAAAUCCCAUAAAGUUGUUCUCAGUUCGGAUUGUAGUCUGCAACUCGACUACAUGAAGCUGGAAUCGCUAGUAAUCGUAGAUCAGCAUGCUACGGUGAAUACGUUCCCGGGUCU